GUUGAAAUCACUAGCGCUUACUACAGAAAACAUGGCGUCUUCGACGCAUUUUCUUUGAUAUUUCGUGUAAUUUUUGAGUAAAAAAAAACAAAUUGUAUUAUCAUUUCUAAUUUAAACUAGCUUGUACUGUGAUAAACGUGUUGCGUUAAGGCUUAGGUUAUCAUCCCAGUGACUGCUACGCAGGCCAGUGCGAUGUCGUGGCGAGGCCGUGACGAGAGGAACACCAGGUGGGGCGAGGACGACAGGUGGGCGGAGGGCCGGCCGCGCUCGCCCGUGUGGGAGCCGCGGCGCAGCGCCAGCCCCGAGCGCCGCGAGCCGCGCGUCGAGCGCCACCACCACGAUCGGUUCGACCGCGAGCGCGAGCGCUACGACCGCGACCGCGACGACGACCGCGAGCGCCGCGACCGCUACCGCCGCGAGCGAUACGACCGGCCGCGCGACCGCGAUCGCCGCCGCGACGGCAAGCGACACGACGACCGUGACGUGCCGCCGCCGCCCUCGCCGCCCCACAUCAGCGACGUCGAGCGCAGGCCCACUUCCCGCUCGAGCAGCCGCUCGGGCAGUCGCGACCGAAUGGACUUAGAUUACGAGAGCAAGUACGACACUAGAGACAAACACGAUGAUAACCAGACAAUCAACGCCUCCCCGGGGGAUUGGUUCUGCAAGUGUGGACUGUACAACUUCAAGAGGCGACAAGUGUGCUACAGACGAAACUGUCAAGGAAAGAGGUCAGAUGGCAUUGUCUAUGGUGGUGAUAGUGAACGGAACAUUCUGUCUGAAAGUGCAGGCAUCACAAAACGGUUGUUGUUCAGAAGACUGGACGCUUUAACUACUGAAGAGAAAAUAUUAGAGGUACUGAAGGAAAGAUGCUCAAAGACUGUUUUAGAUUCCAUUGCUGGUAUCACAAUUGGCAGAGAGACUCUGACCGGGGCCUCCAAGUGUUUAGCUUAUAUUAACUUUAAUUCCAUUGCUGAUUCCACAGCAGCUCAUUCAGAAUUGGCCUCUCUGCAACCUCCUUUAGAAAUUGAUGGCCGUGAAGUUCUUGUUAGUUUUUAUAAUGAACCAAAGAAAAUUUCAAAACCCCCUAGUGCUGACUAUUCAUCUUACUAUGCUCAAAUGUCUAACUAUAGUUCAUCAGCACAGGCCAUGUCUGAGGCGGACCGAGUAAACGCGGCCGCUGCCGUUGCUCAAUCAGCUAUAUCAGCUGCUCAGGCCCGCCACAUGGCCUGGACACCCGUCAGUGUGCCAGUUUUUGUGUCUUCCACUACUCAGUCAGCUCCCACAGUUAAAGCCCCCACAGGUGAUGGUAAGACUGUGUAUUCUCCCCCUGAUGUAAGGACUUUUAUGUAUGAUGAGACUUCCGGUUACUACUAUGACCCAGCCACGGGCUUGUACUAUGAUGGUACAAGUCAGUACUUCUACAACAGUCAGACAAGCCAGUACAUGUACUGGGAUGCCACCAGCAGCACAUACAUAGCUGCCACACAGGCUCAGCAGAACACUGAGCAGCCUAAAUUGCCAAACCCACCCACGGCUACCACAGAGAACACAAUAGCUAAAGAGCCAGAGGAAAAGAAGAAGAGGGACAAGGAAGACAAAGUUAAAGUUGCCAAAAAGAUAGCUAAAGACAUGGAGAGGUGGGCGCGGACCUUGAACCAAAAGAAAGAGAAUGCUAGGAGUAAUAUUGUAAUGGAGCAGCCCCUGGACAUGGGUGCCAGUAAAGGCUCUGCAGACAUUGGUUUCUCAGUGUUAGGGUCUGGACCUUCUUUAACUCACGUUAGGGAACUGUCUCCCCCGCCAUCCGGCGACGAGUUCCUGAUGAAGAGGGUGUCAGAUGCCGAGCACGCGUUCGACAGCGAUGAAGGCAUCAUAGACUGGGCCAAACUGACCUGCCUCAUUUGCAAGCGUCGCUUCCCGUCCGCUGAAGUGCUCAACAAACACAAAUCACUAUCAGACUUGCACAAACAGAACCUGCUGGAGUACCGCAAAAAGAAUGAAUUAAUUCCUCAAAUGAAUGGCUACAGAGACAGGGCGGCUGAGAGGCGAAUGAAAUUCGGUGAAGAUGAAACCCCUAUUAUAAGAAAGCGCUAUGAGCCGCCAGACUCGAUGCCUCCGCCCAUCGCGCCGCACCCACCGCCCUCCGUCGUCGACACGAUUGGAGGGAAAAUGCUGCAAAAAAUGGGCUGGUCUGAGGGUAGAGGUCUAGGUAAAGAGGAGCAGGGCAGGAUCGCCCCCAUAGAAGCCGAACAGAGGCCAAGCUUGGCAGGCCUCGGCCAGAAGAGAGGCAUUUAUACUCCAACCCCUGGGGAGACAUACAGAGACACAGUCAAAAAACUAAUGAUUGCCAGAUAUAAAGAGGUUGUCGGUCAAGAGGAAGGGAAAUAGAUGUCGGCGCUCAAUGCUUCUUCUGAGGGUCGACACUCAGAACUCUCGACGUCCUACAUGAGACUACAUGCCAGACCCCGCUGCGAGUUGCCAAACAUUAUAACAAACCUGUAUACUCAUAGAUAUAUAGAUACUAGAACACACAUUGUGAGAUUACAAAUGAAAAGCAAUUUUUUAAGUAGAGAUGUGCUCUCCUUAGCCCUUAGUAUGUAAAACUUAAUGUCUAUUUUUUUAUUUAUAUUUUUAAAGAAUUAUAUUCAAAAUGUUUAGUUGUUAUGUUCGUGUUCAUAGCUAGUUGAAUUGUUAAAGUAUAUUCAUAUUUGAAGACAAUGAAACAUACAUUGCAUUUAUUUUAGUUUGUUAAUUAUCUUAGAUAGUAAUUGGCAGUCUACAUUAAGUAAUUGUGGCAGGGUGGUCAAUGACUUAUUCACUAAUUAAGCUCCUAAUUGUUGGAGAUACUUUGAUUUAGGUACAAUUAAUUGUGAGUGAUGUGUUUUUGCUAUUUUACAAAUGAUUGUAGAUUCUAAAUGGUCAUCGAUUUGAAGAACGCAAUAAUAUUAGUAUUAACUAUAACAAUAGUAUCUAAACUGUUUGACAACUAAGUCUGCUCCACCCAGAAAUAAAGUAGGAUUUAUCUAGAAAUCUAGAAUAUGAACUAAUUUUAGGGAAUUUCCAUAUUUUAAAUAUUAUAGAGACUUAAUUUGUUUUUAGAUAAUAGAUGAUAAUCCCUCAACAAACUCCAUUUAUUUACAAUAUUAUAGGGAUGUUAUUAUAUUAUACACUUUGAUAAUGUAUAGGGACCUCUGAUGCGUACAAAACACACUUAUGUUACGUUUCGCCGCAAACCUAAUAUCUAAACCAACACGAUUGUUACCACAGUUAACAUUAUGCUAUUUUCUUCGCUUUGAUGGCCAUUUCACCGCGUACUGAUUACACAGUGACUAUUAAUGAAACCGUUGUACUCAUUUUAUGGCUCAAUGGCUAUGCUCGUGCAUUUGAACAAAAUAUUUAAUGAGCGUAUAAUCAAUUGGAUAGUUUAACUACGCCUUACAAGCGUAAACUAUUCGAGUGGUGAUAGAUGUAAUUACAUGUCUAGUGACCUAAUUACAUACAAAAAGUAGAAAAUUGUUAGUUGUGUGAGCGGCAUAACAUAACGUGAUUAUGUUUUGUUUCGUCCAUAAAUUAGUAUACAAUCAUGUUGUUGAUAAUGAAUGAGCAGUAAUUAAUUAAGUAAUUACACACGAUACAAUUUUGCAGGUUUUUUAGAUUGCUUAAGUUUUUAUUGAGCAUCAAUAUAAAAGGUUACAAUGAAA
rnacentral:misc_RNA from 1 species